AGGAUCAUUACAAGGUUUUCGUGCCUCGUCCAUGUUAUCAAUCCACCUCUGAGUACCUAUCCUGUUGCUUCCGUGGGGCACGGCACUUGCUGCCUGGUGGGCUUUUUUGGUUAAGUCCCCACGAAUCAAAUUCUUGUUCAAUUAUGCCAUCGGUGGUCUGACCUUGUUUAUAACAAAUGUUAAAACUUUCAGCAACGGAUCUCUUGGUUCUCGCAUCGAUGAAGAACGCAGCGAAAUGCGAUAAGUAGUGUGAAUUGCAGAAUUCAGUGAAUCAUCGAAUCUUUGAACGCACAUUGCGCCUCUUGGUAUUCCGGGAGGCAUGCCUGUUCGAGCGUCAUUAAGAAAGCACUCAAGCUCUUUUGCUUGGUCAUGGCGGCAGAGAGCGGCAACGUUCUCCCCUCCAAAAUUCAAAGGCGGAUUGCACCACGUGUCCUGGCGUAGUAAGUUUUAUCAUUUCGCUAGGUGAUGUCGUGUGGCCCUGUCGCAAACCCCCCAUACCUUAACAUGCUGACCUCGGAUCANGUAGGGAUACCCGCUGAACUUAAGCAUAUCAAUAAGCGGAGGAAAAGANUNCAACAGGGAUUGCCCCAGUAACUGCGAGUGAAGCGGCAAAAGCUCAAAUUUGAAAUCUGGCGUCUUUGGCACGCCCGAAUUGUAAUUUGGAGAGACAUCUUUGGAGGUGGCGCCGUCCUAAGUUCCUUGGAACAGGACGUCACAGAGGGUGAGAAUCCCGUGCCUGGGUGGCUGCCCAUCUCCAUGUAAAGUGUCUUCGACGAGUCGAGUUGUUUGGGAAUGCAGCUCAAAAUGGGUGGUAAAUGUCAUCUAAAGCUAAAUAUUGGCGAGAGACCGAUAGCGCACAAGUAGAGUGAUCGAAAGAUGAAAAGCACUUUGAAAAGAGAGUCAAAAAGUACGUGAAAUUGUUGAAAGGGAAGCGCUUGAGACCAGACUCGAUCUGUGGUAAUCAGCUGGGCUUCUGUCCAGUGCACUUGUCAUGGGUUGGGCCAGCAUCGGUUCUGGCGGUGGGAUAAAAGGUGUGGGAAUGUAGCUUCCUUUGGGGAGUGUUAUAGCCCACGUCACCAUGCCACCAGCUGGGACCGAGGACCGCGCUUCGGCUAGGAUGCUGGCGUAAUGGUCUUAAGCGACCCGU
rnacentral:rRNA from 1 species